rnacentral:rRNA from 1 species
GAUGAACGCUGGCGGCGUGCUUAACACAUGCAAGUCGAACGGUGAAAGAGAGCUUGCUCUCUGGAUCAGUGGCGAACGGGUGAGUAACACGUGAGCAAUCUGCCCUUGACUCUGGGAUAAGCGCUGGAAACGGCGUCUAAUACCGGAUACGAGCUGCGAAGGCAUCUUCAGCAGCUGGAACGAACUUCGGUCAAGGAUGAGCUCGCGGCCUAUCAGCUAGUUGGUGAGGUAACGGCUCACCAAGGCGUCGACGGGUAGCCGGCCUGAGAGGGUGACCGGCCACACUGGGACUGAGACACGGCCCAGACUCCUACGGGAGGCAGCAGUGGGGAAUAUUGCACAAUGGGCGCAAGCCUGAUGCAGCAACGCCGCGUGAGGGACGACGGCCUUCGGGUUGUAAACCUCUUUUAGCAGGGAAGAAGCGAAAGUGACGGUACCUGCAGAAAAAGCACCGGCUAACUACGUGCCAGCAGCCGCGGUAAAAC